rnacentral:rRNA from 1 species
GAACCGUCCAAACGUUUAUUCGGAAUUAUUGGGCUUAAAGGGUGCGUAGGCGGUGCAGUAAGUUGGGUGUGAAAUCCCUCGGCUCAACCGAGGAACUGCGCCCAAUACUGCUACACUCGAGGGAGACAGAGGUAAGCGGAACUGAUGGUGGAGCGGUGAAAUGCGUUGAUAUCAUCAGGAACACCAGUGGCGAAAGCGGCUUACUGGGUCUCUUCUGACGCUGAGGCACGAAAGCUAGGGUAGCGAACGGGGGAUUAGAUACCCCGGUAGUCCUAGCUGUAAACGAUGAGCACUUGGUCGGAGGUUCCCCCCGAGAACUUCCGGCCGUAGCGAAAGUGUUAAGUGCUCCGCCUGGGGAGUAUGGUCGCAAGGCUG